UACAGAGGUCUCGAGCGUUAGGCGGAAUCACUGGGCUUAAAGCGUGUGUAGGCGGAUUGCUAAGUACCUUGUGAAAUCCCACGGCUUAACCGUGGAACUGCUUGGUAUACUGGCUGUCUUGAGCCACUUAGGGGCGACCGGAACAAACGGUGGAGCGGUGAAAUGCGUAGAUAUCGUAAGGAAGACCAGUGGCGAAGGCGGGUCUCUGGACAGUUCCUGACGCUGAGGCACGAAGGUCAGGGGAGCAAACGGG
rnacentral:rRNA from 1 species